rnacentral:lncRNA from 1 species
UUGAGUUUGGAGGCUGUGACUCAUGGCUUUUUUUUUUUUUUCUCACACAGAGAAAGCCUGCCUGGGUAGAAGAGAAAGAAGCCAAGCAAAACCAAAAAACGGAUAUGAGAUGAAAAGGAAAGAGAGUAGAGUCCUGGUGACAUCAAGUCCUGGCUCUCUUUGGGGAUCCUGGAGAAGAGUAUUUUUAGGAGGCAUUACUGUGAAGCAUAGCAGGUGGCCAGAUGGUAAUGGAAGGAAACAUGGUCCCUUCUAUCGGCUACAAGAACUGAGUGGCAUUCAGAGCUUCUCUCGCAUCUUGGACUCUCAGGCUGCAGAUCCAUCACAAUGCCAUAGAACACAGAUGACACUUUCCCCUGCUUUUGAGACCCGUUGUUCCCAUGGUGUAGAUACAUGUAAGAGGGAGUGCCAUAGAAAAUGA